GUGAGGAAUAUUGCGCAAUGGAGGCAACUCUGACGCAGCCAUGCCUCGUGCAGGAAGAAGGCGCUACGCGUUGUAAACUGCUUUUAACCGGGAAGAAACCCCAGGACGUGUCCUGGGUUGACGGUACCGGAGGAAUAAGCACCGGCUAACUUCGUGCCAGCAGCCGCGGUAAUACGAAGGGUGCAAGCGUUAUCCGGAUUCAUUGGGUUUAAAGGGUGCGUAGGCGGAGCGUUAAGUCAGUGGUGAAAUCCUGCAGCUUAACUGUAGACUUGCCAUUGAUACUGGCGCUCUUGAGUGCGCUUGAAGUGGGCGGAAUGUGCCGUGUAGCGGUGAAAUGCUUAGAUAUGGCACAGAACACCAAUUGCGAAGGCAGCUCACUAAGGCGAUACUGACGCUGAGGCACGAAAGCGUGGGGAUCGAACAGGAUUAGAAACCCGGGUAGUCC
rnacentral:rRNA from 1 species